CAAUGAUUUAUUAGAUAUAAUUAAAUAGCCGCAGUAUCUUGACUGUGCGAAGGUAGCAUAAUCAUUUGUCUUUUAAUUGAAGGCUUGUAUGAAUGGUUGAAUGAAAGAAUUUCUUUCUUUAUAUUAAAUAUAGAAUUUAAUUUUUAAGUUAAAAAGCUUAAAUUUGUAAAAGGGACGAGAAGACCCUAUAGAAUUUUAUUUAUUUAAUAUUUAAAUUGUUGUGGAUUUUGUAUUUUUUUAAUAUUAAAUAACUUUUGUUGGGGUGAUGUUGAGAUUAUAAAAACUCUCAUAUUUAAUGAUUUUAUUUAUUUAUAUAUUAAGGAUCCUUAUUUUAGGAUAUUUAGAUUAAAUUACCUUAGGGAUAACAGCGUUAUUUUAUUGGAGAGUUCUUAUCGAUAAUAAAGUUUGCGACCUCGAUGUUGGAUUAAAAUUAGAUUUAAGUGCAGUUGCUUAAUUUCUAGGU
rnacentral:rRNA from 1 species